GCCGUCCCCACGAUCUUCGCAGCAACUUCUGGCGACAACGGUCUUAACAUCAGUAACGAAUCUGAUGUGCAUAAUUCUGAGGCCUGCCAGGUGCUGUCCCAAACGGAAUCGUGUAUCGCCGAACCAGCCGAACAUCUGACAGACAAUUCAGAGGGAGCAAGAUGCGAGAGCAGAGGAACUUUCCUUCCUGUGCCACAGUCAAUAUCUGAUGACG